GACGAACGCUGGCGGCGUGCUUAACACAUGCAAGUCGAACGGUGAAGGGGCCUGCUUUUGUGGGCCCUGGAUGAGUGGCGCACGGGUGAGUAACACGUGAGUAACCUUCCCCCUUCUUCUGGAUAACCGCAUGAAAGUGUGGCUAAUACGUGAUAUUCUGGUUCUGUCGCAUGAUGGGUCUGGGAAAGAUUGCGCCUUUGGGUGUUUUUGGUGGGGGAUGGGCUCGCGGCCUAUCAGCUUGUUGGUGGGGUGAUGGCCUACCAAGGCGGUGACGGGUAGCCGGCCUGAGAGGGUGGACAGGCACACUGGGACUGAGACACGGCCCAGACUCCUACGGGGGGCAGCAGUGGGGAAUAUUGCACAAUGGGCGCAAGCCUGAUGCAGCGACGCCGCGUGAGGGAUGGAGGCCUUCGGGUUGUAAACCUCUUUCGCCAGUGAAGCAGGCCUGCUGCUUGUGGGUGGGUUGACGGUAGCUGGAUAAGAAGCGCCGGCUAACUACGUG
rnacentral:rRNA from 1 species